rfam:Lobosporangium transversale strain NRRL 3116 BCR41scaffold_86, whole genome shotgun sequence.
GCUCUUGUGGCGCAAUUGGUUAGCGCGUCUGACUGUUAAUCAGGAGGUUGGUGGUUCAAGCCCACCCAGGAGCG